UACAGAGGGGGGCAAGCGUUGUUCGGAAUUACUGGGCGUAAAGGGCGCGUAGGCGGCCUUCUAAGUCGAACGUGAAAUCCCCGGGCUCAACCCGGGAACUGCGUCCGAUACUGGAAGGCUUGAAUCCGGGAGAGGGAUGCGGAAUUCCAGGUGUAGCGGUGAAAUGCGUAGAUAUCUGGAGGAACACCGGUGGCGAAGGCGGCGAUCCUGGACCGGUAUUGACGCUGAGGCGCGAAAGCCAGGGGAGCAAAGCGGG
rnacentral:rRNA from 1 species